rnacentral:rRNA from 1 species
GAUGAACGCUAGCUACAGGCUUAACACAUGCAAGUCGAGGGGAAACGACAUCGAAAGCUUGCUUUUGAUGGGCGUCGACCGGCGCACGGGUGAGUAACGCGUAUCCAACCUGCCCAUCACUUGGGGAUAACCUUGCGAAAGUAAGACUAAUACCCAAUGAUAUCUCUAGAAGACAUCUGAAAGAGAUUAAAGAUUUAUCGGUGAUGGAUGGGGAUGCGUCUGAUUAGCUUGUUGGCGGGGUAACGGCCCACCAAGGCAACGAUCAGUAGGGGUUCUGAGAGGAAGGUCCCCCACAUUGGAACUGAGACACGGUCCAAACUCCUACGGGAGGCAGCAGUGAGGAAUAUUGGUCAAUGGGCGAGAGCCUGAACCAGCCAAGUAGCGUGCAGGAAGACGGCCCUAUGGGUUGUAAACUGCUUUUAUAAGGGAAUAAAGUGAGAGUCGUGACUCUUUUUGUAUGUACCUUAUGAAUAAGGACCGGCUAAUUCCGUGC